rnacentral:rRNA from 1 species
UACGGGGGGGGCAAGCGUUGUUCGGAAUUACUGGGCGUAAAGGGCGCGUAGGCGGCCUUCUAAGUCGAACGUGAAAUCCCCGGGCUCAACCCGGGAACUGCGUCCGAUACUGGAAGGCUUGAAUCCGGGAGAGGGAUGCGGAAUUCCAGGUGUAGCGGUGAAAUGCGUAGAUAUCUGGAGGAACACCGGUGGCGAAGGCGGCAUCCUGGACCGGCAUUGACGCUGAGGCGCGAAAGC